rnacentral:rRNA from 1 species
CCAAUAGCGUAUAUUAAAGUUGUUGCAGUUAAAAAGCUCGUAGUUGAAUUUCGGGAUCAAUAUUUCGGUCAUGCCGUUGGUAUGCACUGUUAUCAUUGAUUUCUCACCUUCUAAAGAACCGUAAUGCCAUUAAUUUGGUGUUACGGGGAAUUAGGACUGUUACCUUGAAAAAAUUAGAGUGUUUAAAGCAGGCUCACGCUUGAAUACAUUAGCAUGGAAUAAUGAAAUAGGACGUUUGAUCUUAUUUUGUUGGUUUCUAGGAUCGACGUAAUGAUUAAUAGGGAUAGUUGGGGGCAUUAGUAUUCAAUUGUCAGAGGUGAAAUUCUUGGAUUUAUUGAAGACUAACUACUGCGAAAGCAUUUGCCAAGGAUGUUUUCAUUAAUCAAGAACGAAAGUUAGGGGAUCGAAGACGAUCAGAUACCGUCGUAGUCUUAACCAUAAACUAUGCCGACUAGGGAUCGGAUGAUGUUAAUUUUUUAAUGACUCAUUCGGCGCCUUACG